GCCCCAUUAACUCAGUUGGUAGAGUGAUGGACUCUUAAUCCAUUCGCCACGGGUUCGAGCCCCGUAUGGGGCU
rnacentral:tRNA from 1 species